UACCAGCACCCCGAGUGGUCGGACGUUUAUUGGGCCUAAAGCAUCCGUAGCCGGUUCUACAAGUCUUCCGUUAAUCCAACUGCUUAACAGGUGGGCUGCGGAAGAUACUAUAGAGCUAGGAGGCGGGAGAGGCAAGCGGUACUCGAUGGGUAGGGGUAAAAUCCGUUGAUCCAUUGAAGACCACCAGUGGCGAAGGCGGCUUGCCAGAACGCGCUCGACGGUGAGGGAUGAAAGCUG
rnacentral:rRNA from 1 species